ensembl:lncRNA
AUAGGCAACAGAGUUUGUAAUUUCAAUUUCGUUUGGAUUGAAUUCCAUUCAAAGGUAGCUGCAUACAUAAAAGCCCUUUUUCCCAGUUCAGUUCUCACAAAUGGGACAGAAAGAGUAAAACAAUUAUCAGACCGGAGGGAAUAUUUCCCAACACUUUUCUUUUGAAUUAGACAACCUAAAUAUGAAGGCAACAACCCCAGAAUAGUUUUAUAAAUGAUUAAGUAAAAAUGAAUUUUCCUUCUAAUAGACAAAGAUGGCCAGGAUACUCUAUUAUACAAUAUACAAUGAUGAGUUAAAGGUUUACUAUCUGAUAUAAAUCUUAAAGCGCUGUGAUAAACAGCAUCCAAAGAAGAAAGAAGUUGAGAAGAAGCAUAUUGAUAAACCACAUCACCAUAAUCGAGUACAGGCAAGAAAGUAGCAGAAACUAACCUCUUUCUUACAUUAAAUGAAAAACAGAACUUAUUUCUAAAAUAAAACCCAAGCUUUAUUUUUAAUUGUUUCGUUAAAUUAGUUAUAUGAGACCCAAAAGAUAAUUUAUCAUCGAUUGUGAUACCAAGAUAUUUAUAUUCUUUCACUAACUCAAUCACAUUACCUUGCAAAGUCUGAAGAGGAAUAAAGUUGUCUACCGCCUUUUUCGAGCUUGAGAAUAACAUGAUUUUAGUUUUAUCAGCAUUCAGAACAAGUUUUAGUGUAUGAAGCCGUGACUGAAAAACAUCAAAUGCCGCUUGAAGUUUAAUCAAGGCUUGCUGUUUUGAAGGUGCACCACAAUACAUAACAGUGUCAUCUGCGUAAAAAUGUAAAUUAACAUAUUGAUUACCAUGAUCGAUACUGUUUAUGUAGAUAGUAAAUAAAAGGGGCCCUAACACGGAUCCUUGAGGAACUCCUUUAACAAUCUCCAAUAGUCCUGAAUUUAUGCCCUCAGCCUGAACACAUUGGGUUCUAUUGAUUAAAUAAUUUUUUAAACCAAAAAAUAACAUGUUUUGAUAAGCCAACACUCCUUAAUCUAUGCAGCAAUAUCUCAUUAUCCACUGUGUCAAAAGCCUUUGAUAAAUCAAUAAAAAGAGAAGCACAGUAAUCACCUUUAUCAACUGAUCCAAUAAUGUAAUUUAAAACUUUCAUAACGGCUGUAGUGGUACUGUGUUUUUUGCGAAACCCAGAUUGAUUACUAGAUAGAACUUUGUGAACAUUCAAAUAACAAGUCACUUGAUCACUAAUAAAACUUUCUAAAAUUUUUGAUAGAACACAAAGCUUAGAGAUUGGCCUAUAAUUAUCUAGUAUAGUAGAGUCUCCCCCUUUUAAUAAGGGGAUAACAAAAGCUGAUUUCCAGAUUUCAGGAAUAACACCAGUGUCUAAUGAAAGAUUAAACAGAUAAGUUAAAGGGGUCGAAAUGAUAUCAGCUGCCAUUUUCAAAUAAAUAGUUUCCACACAGUCAGGGCCUGGAGAUUUGUUUAUAUCAAGCGAUUUAAGUGCUUUAUGGACAUCAGUACUCUUGAUGUGAACAAAAGAGAACUCUUCCUUUGUAAGACUAGUUUCUGCACUAACAAAGUCAUUAUUUGAGGACCAAAGAUUGUAUGACUCGAAUAAAGACCCAGAAUCAAUAAAAUGCUUAUUAAAAUGGUUAAGUAUUUGCUCUUUAUCAGAGAUGACCGUGGAAUCCAUAUUUAUACGUGAAGGAAAAUCGGAUGAUUUUUUGUUCCCUGUUAUAUAUUUUAUAUU